rnacentral:lncRNA from 1 species
CCGCUUCGCAAACCUCUUCCUUCUCCCGCACCUUCUUCCCGGCCACUUCCUGCCUACUUUACCCCAGCCCUCAAGUUCCAAUCCUUGCUAACCCCCCACGCGCCUCAAGGUCCCACUAUUCCAUUCUCCGAUUCUUCUCUUCCAGCCCCUAAGGCAACCCCAAACUCCCUGCACUCCGCACGCCCCCAGUCCCAAGUCCCAACAGCCCCAGGCUCCGCUUCCGAGUUGGGCACCGGCGGGGUUUUCCCGCCGAAACCUGUCCCCAGCGCGUGGGGCGCGCGGCGGGCCGGGCACUCACCAGCUGCAGUUUGCUGGGUUUCUCUACGAGGGGCAGCGGCCGCAGGCGCAUGGUGCCGGGUGGCGCGGCGUCUCACGAGCUGCGCGCCCUCGCCUGCCUCUCGCGCAUCUCCACUUCGGGGGGCAGGACUGAGGACGCCAGGGACACAGUGCGGCGCUUCCCUCCCGGAAUCCGAGCGCAGCGCCGCGCCGGCCGGGUGGGUGGGCGGGAAAAGGGGAGGGCGCGGGGACACGCGGGAGGUUCUUCGGGGCCCCCGCGCGCCCCUCCUUCGACGGGGCUGGCAAAGGAGCGUGCGGGCCGCUCGAGCUCCGGCACAAUGCGCGGAGCUCCAGCGGCGGCCGGGGGCUCCUGCGUCCUGGGGUCGCCCGCGGGCCAGAGACUGCGACUCGGGCGCUUCAGUGCCGGGUUCCCGCGCGAAGCUGCUUUGGAGAUCCGGCCUCGCCGUGCGGCUGCCCGGCAGAGCUGAGCGCGUCCGGGAGCCCGGCGAGGCCCGGCGCCUCCUCCGCCCACGCCCAGCAGAGGGCCGGGCCGGGUGCGCGGCUGGGCCAGGCGCACUGCCCACUGACCCGCUGUGGUUUUGCUGCGGAGAUGGGAGCCAGGGGGGCGGGGGUCUCUCUGCGCGGAUGCGGGAAGGAGUAUGCCCGGAGAACACCCAGGGAGUUUCAGGGGAAGGCGAUCGCAGGGUCGUGGGGCGGGGUGUGGGGGGCUGA